AGUAGAGUCAGUGUUUGCUGCGUAUUAUAAAAUAUUUUCUAGAGUACAUAUCGCGACUCUGCUUUUUCCUUUUUCAUCGUGAAAGUAGAGUCACUACAAUUGUUCGCCGAAAAUUAUUCACGGUCGCGUUACUAGUAUUUCAUAUCUUUAUUUUUAUUUUUAAUUUUUUUUUUAAUUGCUCGAUAUAUCCGGUAUUAGAGUCAGUGCACCACUGAAGAGGAGUCUUGGGCGUUGCUUCAUAAGGAAAGAGUAUUUCUGCUCUUUUGCAACAGUUGGUCGCGUGGUGCAGCACCAGUACAUCACG